rnacentral:rRNA from 1 species
UACGAGGGGGGCAAGCGUUGUUCGGAAUUAUUGGGCGUAAAGGGCGCGUAGGCGGUGCGGUAAGUCACCUGUGAAAACUCUGGGCUCAACUCAGAGCCUGCAGGCGAAACUGCCGUGCUUGAGUGUGGGAGAGGUGCGUGGAAUUCCCGGUGUAGCGGUGAAAUGCGUAGAUAUCGGAAGGAACACCUGUGGCGAAAGCGGCUCACUGGACCAUUACUGACGCUGAUGCACGAAAGCUAGGGGAGCAAACAGG